rnacentral:snoRNA from 1 species
AAGUUGCGAAAUGAGAUUACUUCCUUCCAUCAACUAGAAGAUGAAAGUUUGUUCGAGGCUUGGGAAUGAUUCAAAGAAUUGCUCAGAAGGUGUCCUCAUCAUGGUAU